rnacentral:lncRNA from 1 species
UUCGUUAACCCCUUCGAGCUUAAACAGUUGAAUCUCGGCUUGAAAUAAAGCGAGAUGUCAAAAAUCUUUUUUCUUGAAACCCGGAAAAUUUUGAUAAUUGUUCUUUUGCCGUAAAAGUCAAGAGCAUUCACUUAGGGUGAGUAAAAGAAAUAAGUUGGGGAGAACGAAAAUGAGAAUCGGUAAGUGCCACAACUCUUGAAAAACCGAGCAAGCAUUGAAAAAAAAAAUAUAAAAUAUAGAAAAGAGAAACAUCUGUUUUGUAAAUAUGAUGUGAAAGAAAAGAAAAAAUAGAGAAAAUGAAAAUGAAUGCUUG